UAAUCCCGUGACAGCCCCCAACAAACAAGACAGCAUCUCAAAACCAUUCCGGGAAAUUCUUUUAUUGGUUUCGGAAAAGAGGCUAAAUGGGUAUCCUCAGUGGAGACAGUGGUUCAGCUCCAGCAGGACGCCUGCCUUCUGGUCCCUCGCAUCCCCUUGGGGAAGAGGAAGCUUCAGGCCCUGCAAGAGAGAGAAAAAAACAACUAAGGGAUGAGCGUGUCCACUGCCAUCAACCGGCUUCAACCCAGGCGUAUCCACCGACCAAUGUUCUGGCAACUUCAUCCCGAAGUUCCACCUGCCAACAUCCACUGGCCUCCACCAGGAAUAUCCACCCAUUCAUCUCUUCCACUCCGCUUCUGAAGCCAGCUCCAGAAUGCUUGGGUCACACUCAUGUACCAGUGACAUCCACACAGAACACCAGCCAGCCCAUUCACACAAACAUUCACACACACAUACCAGCCACCCCUGACACACACACACCUUCAUUCCAAAAGCCAUUCACACACACACACCUGGAUUUCCAUCCACCAAUAUCCACCAAGCUUCCACUAGCUGGUUUCAGGAGGCUAACGUCCACCGCCAGCUUCACCCGCCAACCUCUGUCGGCCUCCGCCUUGCGGCCUCAGCCAGCUUCCACAGGGAGAUUCCACCAGCUUCUGCCUGCCAACGUCCACCGACUUCCCCCCCGGUCCAUCGCCGACAUCAGCCAGCUUCAAGCCACGGAUCUCCGCCAUCCUCAAGCUGUUAACCUCCAAGCCCACUUAGCAAGUUAUUCUGCUUUCACAAGAGAACUGGCCUUGGGCAGAAGGGCUGGGUCCCCUGCAAAAGUUGCCGCUCUCUCUGGCGGACUGCCCUCUGGCCACUGGCCUCCCUUCUAGUCUCCUGCCCUGCCCAGCAAGCCCCCUUUUAUCUGCCAGCAGAGAGGUGGGGCCCCUAUGAGGUCACAAAGACCCAGGGGGAAAGGGGUUGGGUUGCCAAGGCAGCAGCAGCAGCACCCUCGGGAUUGGCUGAGUCCUGAAGAUGAUGUCAACAGUCCCUCUGAUCAUGUGAUUCACCCACAAAAGCUUGCAUGUUGCCUGAUUGUUUUAAAUAUCUUUUUUAUUAGUGGCCUAUAAAUGUAUCCCCUGUCACCAUUCCCUCUGAUUGUUAAAUCUCCUGGCCUUCUGACAGGAUUCUAUUCUGUAUUCAUAUACAUAU
rnacentral:lncRNA from 1 species